AAGCUAAGCUGUGCAGUGCAGCAUUUCACUAACCUACACAUUCCUAGCUUUCAACAACUCGGAGAGUUGCCCAUCACUAAUCCGUUGGCAUGAAUACCAAGACUCCUGCAAAAGUCCUGAUGAUGGCUCUGUGAUUAAAUCUCCGAGUUCUUUCCAUCCCCAGGAAUUUGCCUUAGAUCCAAGACAUCUGAGUGUUGCUUCCCCACUUCCCAUGGACAACUGGUUGUGUUUCCUGGUUUCCAAGAGAAAGCCUUCAGCCUUAUAGAAAAGAAGAAAACAAGGACAGCAAAAGUCAACUCUAUGACUGCUACAAUACACUGAGGAGUUACUCCCCAAAAAUGUUACUCAUAGCUGGAUUGAGAGAGUAUUUGGGAAAUGUGGCAAUGUGGUUUACAUAAGUAUUCCACAUUACAAGUCUACUGGGGAUCCGAAGGGAUUUGCCUUCGUGGAGUUUGAAACAAAAGAACAAGCAGCAAAAGCCAUUGAGUUUCUGAACAACCCACCAGAGGAAGCACCUAGAAAGCCUGGAAUAAGACCGUGAAAAACAAACCCAUCCCUUCCUUACGAGUAGCUGAAGAGAAGAAAAAAAAAGAAAAAGAAAAAAGGCAGAAUAAAGAAGGAAGAGAGUGUGCAAGCCAAAGAGUCAGCUGUAGACAGCAGCAGCUCGGGGCCGUGUAAAGCCACGAAGAGACCCAGGACUGAGUCCGAGGGCUCAGAAGCAGAAACCCCAGAAGCGCCAAAGCAACCUGCAAAGAAAAAGAAAAAGCAGCGGGACAAGGCGGAAGCAUCUAGCUUACCUGAUGUCAGGGCGGGGAAGAGGGAGAGGAGCGACUUAUGCUCUAUUGCAGAGGAGAAGGAGACGGGGGACAGUAAAGGUGACUCGCUCUCAAAGGUGAAGAGGAAGCAUAAGAAGAAACACGGGGAGCGACAUAAGAUGGGCGAGGAGGUUAUCUCAUUGAGAGUGCUGUCCAAGUAAGUGCCUGUCCUCCGCGGCCACCGACACAGCUCUGGACCACAGACCUUUUACGAGUGGAUUCUGGGACCGCAGAGCACCAGCCAGGAGUCCAUUUCUUGUGGACUCUUGAAGAUGUAAGAUAAAUGAGGUUCUGUAGAAUGAAGAGGACAGGUGGGAUCUGAAAAGCCAGAGUGAAGGGAAACACCGUUUAUCUGUUCAUUCUCUGAUAUCCAUUAUAUAUUGCUGGGUACUUUUUAUUCUGUUUCCACUGUCGCAUGCAACUAGGCAAUGGUGUCUUGGGUAAUUCAAGUGAUCUUGAUGGUAGGAAUUCGUAUAUGAGCAGAUAGACAAAUGUCUUUACCACACAGGACACGCAUGUUAGUAAAGAGGCUAGAGGAGAGGGCUGGGAUGAGGGCAAGGAUGCUGUGCUCAGGUUUCCUAGGUGGUUCUGGUGGACUUCAGCAGAUCAGAGUGCCAACAGAAACCUGGGCAGUAAAGACUGUUCUUGAGGAGCUCACGUCACAUUUUGUAGAGUCUCUGGGUGUUUUAACAAACUGGGAAGACGUCCGCCUCUCUUGAAGGUGAACUAAGUGCAUUUUUACAUUCAGAGGGUGGAAUGUAAUGGUUUGAACUGAAACCAUUUCAACAGGCUCACGUUAUAUGCUCAGAAUCCGGCUGUAAUGCUCUUUUAAGGACUAUGGAGCCUAUAGACGGGGCACUGGGAACUGGAGAGGUGACUCAGUGGUUAAGAGUACUUACUGCUCUAACAGAGGAUGUGGGUUUGGUUCCCAGAACCUAAAUCAGGCAUCUCACAACUCCCUGUGACUCUAAUCCUAGGGGUUAUGACACUGUCUUCUGGCAUCCAUGGGCACUUGUAUGAACUUGAUACACAUAAACUCAUAUAGGUGUACACACACACACACACACACACACCACAAAAAUAAAACCAAAUAAAUAAGAAGAAGGUGGGGCCUGCCUGGCAAACGUAGACCACUAGAGGUGAGCCUUUGAAGGGUAUGUACUUCUGGUUCUGGCUUUCUUUCUUGCGAAAUUCGACGGACAAGCCCCACACAUUCUCCCUAACCACAACCUCAACCCCAACCCUAUCCCUAAUCCCAAUCCCAAUCCCAACCCCAACCCUAAACCUAACCCGUUCUAGUAGCCCCUCCUGCCAUGAUGAACUGAAAUCUCUGAAAUCACUAGACAAAUUAAAAAUGUGCACCCUUA